rnacentral:rRNA from 1 species
AUGAACGCUGGCGGCGUGCCUAAUACAUGCAAGUCGAGCGAACAGACGAGGAGCUUGCUCCUCUGACGUUAGCGGCGGACGGGUGAGUAACACGUGGAUAACCUACCUAUAAGACUGGGAUAACUUCGGGAAACCGGAGCUAAUACCGGAUAAUAUAUUGAACCGCAUGGUUCAAUAGUGAAAGACGGUUUUGCUGUCACUUAUAGAUGGAUCCGCGCCGCAUUAGCUAGUUGGUAAGGUAACGGCUUACCAAGGCGACGAUGCGUAGCCGACCUGAGAGGGUGAUCGGCCACACUGGAACUGAGACACGGUCCAGACUCCUACGGGAGGCAGCAGUAGGGAAUCUUCCGCAAUGGGCGAAAGCCUGACGGAGCAACGUCGCGUGAGUGAUGAAGGUCUUCGGAUCGUAAAACUCUGUUAUUAGGGAAGAACAAAUGUGUAAGUAACUAUGCACGUCUUGACGGUACCUAAUCAGAAAGCCACGGCUAACUACGUG